rnacentral:rRNA from 1 species
CCUACGGGGGGCAGCAGUGGGGAAUAUUGCACAAUGGGGGAAACCCUGAUGCAGCGACGCCGCGUGAGCGAUGAAGUAUUUCGGUAUGUAAAGCUCUAUUAGCAGGGAAGAAAAUGAUGGUACCUGACUAAGAAGCCCCGGCUAACUACGUGCCAGCAGCCGCGGUAAUACGUAGGGGGCAAGCGUUAUCCGGAGUUACUGGGGGUAAUGGGAGGGUAGGCGGUACAGCAAGCCAGAUGUGAAAGCCCGGGGCUCAACCCCGGGACUGCAUUUGAAACGGUAAGGCUUGAGUGUCGGAGAGGCAGACGGAAUGCCUAGUGUAGCGGUGAAAUGCGUAGAUAUUAGGAGGAACACCAGUGGCGAAGGCGGCCUGCUGGAC